rnacentral:rRNA from 1 species
UGCUUUAGAAAAGGAUUUUAGUCCUGCUUAAAGCUAUUUUAUCUAAAAAAAUUUAAACUUUAAAGUUAUUCAAAUAAGGUUCAGCCUAUUUGAAAAAGGAUACAACCUCUACCACUGGGUUACCAAACCUCCAUAAAACAAAGUAGGCCUAAAAGCAGCCACCUUAAAUAAAAGCGUCAUAGCUUUCCCUUAUGGUCUUACAAUAUCUAAAACUUUUCUUAACCCCUCACCACUAAAAAGCAACUCUAUAUUUUUAUAGAAAAUUUUAUGUUAAAACUAGUAACAAGAAGUAGCCCUUCUCUUAAAUGUAUCCGUCAAUCAACACAAACCCCAUUGAUAAUUAACGUACCUAAAACUAAAGUAAAACCCCCUUCAAGAAAACCUUACUAUUAUUAACGUUAACCUAACACAAGAACAUUAAAAGAAAGAUUAAAAGAUAAGGAAGGAACUCGGCAAACAUUAGCCUCGCCUGUUUACCAAAAACAUCGCCUCUUGAUUAACCAUAAGAGGUCAAGCCUGCCCAGUGACAUUUGUUUAACGGCCGCGGUAUCCUAACCGUGCGAAGGUAGCGUAAUCACUUGUUCUUUAAAUGAGGACUAGUAUGAACGGCUUCACGAAAGCUAUACUGUCUCCCCUAUCCAAUCAGUUAAACUAAUCUCCCCGUGAAGAAGCGGGGAUACAACUAUAAGACGAGAAGACCCUAUGGAGCUUUAAAUAUUUUAAAACAUUUGAACCCAUAAAUUUUAAAUUUUUUUCCCGAAACCUCUAUUAAAUACAUCAUUCUGUUUAAAACUUUAGGUUGGGGUGACCACGGAGUAUAAACUAACCUCCACGUAGAAUGAAACUCUCUUUCUAAACAAAAAGCCACACCUUUAUGCAUCAACACAUUGACCUAAAUUGACCCAAUUUUUUGAUCAACGAACCAAGUUACCCUAGGGAUAACAGCGCAAUCCGCUUUAAGAGCCCCUAUCGACAAGCGGGAUUACGACCUCGAUGUUGGAUCAGGAUGUCCCAGUGGUGCAGCAGCUACUAAUGGUUCGUUUGUUCAACGAUUAAAAUCCU